CGUAGCUACUUGUUUGGGUUUGAUAUGAACAAUCCGGUGAAGUGAAGAAGCAACACAAUGCUCUGCUCUCUUCUUUUCAAGCAUAGUGGAGAGGGAAAAAGCCUGAACAAGAAGAUUCGCCCUAGGGGAUAGAGGAUGAAAAUGUACUGAAUUUGUACUGACUGUUCCUCUGCAGUGUAUUGUUCUGAGCUACCAGCAUGAUGAAGUCUACAUUCAGAAAAAGAUGUUACAUCCGAAACUGGACACUCAGCCAAAACUGAAGCAAAGUUCCCUGGACUGGGAAAUAAGCUCUCCCUUGUAUUCUUGUUUCCUUUCCUACUGUCACCCAAAAGGUUAGCAGCAUUGCUUCAUUUCUGUAAAAUGUCUUGAAGAUUCGAACAAUGGAAAGAAGGCCUUUAGUAAAAUGUUUUCCUCUUAAAACAAGGGGUAAUAAGGCUAGAUUUAGGAAUAGGAGUUUAAAGAUAAAGCAAAGAUGAAGUCCUA